GAGUUCUUAUGAUGGGAUAAC
rnacentral:piRNA from 1 species